rnacentral:rRNA from 1 species
GAUGAACGCUGGCGGCGUGCCUAAUACAUGCAAGUCGAGCGAACAGACGAGGAGCUUGCUCCUCUGACGUUAGCGGCGGACGGGUGAGUAACACGUGGAUAACCUACCUAUAAGACUGGGAUAACUUUGGGAAACCGGAGCUAAUACCGGAUAAUAUAUUGAACCGCAUGGUUCAAUAGUGAAAGACGGUUUUGCUGUCACUUAUAGAUGGAUCCGCGCCGCAUUAGCUAGUUGGUAAGGUAACGGCUUACCAAGGCGACGAUGCGUAGCCGACCUGAGAGGGUGAUCGGCCACACUGGAACUGAGAACCGGUCCAGACUCCUACGGGAGGCAGCAGUAGGGAAUCUUCCGCAAUGGGCGAAAGCCUGACGGAGCAACGCCGCGUGAGUGAUGAAGGUCUUCGGAUCGUAAAACUCUGUUAUUAGGGAAGAACAAAUGUGUAAGUAACUAUGCACGUCUUGACGGUACCUAAUCAGAAAGCCACGGCUAACUACGUG